rnacentral:rRNA from 1 species
AAUUAGGCAAAUUUCCCCCGUACGUUCGCAAUAAGGGGGGCCUUUGGCGGUGAGCUUAAUCGCAAAGCUGCUGGAGGCCGCAGAGAAAUGGCUCUUCCAACUGUUUAACAAAAACACAGGUCUCUGCUAAGUCGAAAGACGAAGUAUAGGGGCUGACGCCUGCCCAGUGCUGGAAGGUUAAGGGGAGAGGUUAGGCGCAAGCCGAAGCUUUGAGCCGAAGCCCCAGUGAACGGCGGCUGUGACUAUAACGGUCCUAAGGCAGCGAAAUUCCUUGUCGGGUAAGAUCCGACCCGCACGAAUGGCGUAAUGAGAGGAGCACUGUCUCAACGAGGGACUCGGCGAACAUUGAAGGACGUGUGAAGAUACACGUGACCCGCAGCGGGACAAAAAGACCCCGUGAAGCUUUACUACAACUUGCCAUUGAGUUAGGGCUAAACCUGUGUAGUAUAGGUGGGAGGCUUUGAAACUGGGACGCCAGUCUCGGUGGAGCCACCGUUGAAAUACCACCCUGGUUUAUUCUUGGCUCUAACCUGUCGCCGUUAUCCGGCAUGGGAACAGUGGCUGGUGGGUAGUUUGACUGGGGCGGUCGCCUCCGAAAGCGUAACAGAGGCGCCCAAAGGUUCCCUCAGGCUGAAUGGAAACCAGCCGUUGAGUGUAAAGGCACAAGGGAGCUUGACUGCAAGACCAACAAGUCGCGCAGGGACGGAAGUCGGGCUUAGUGAUCCCACGGUUCAGAGUGGAAUGGCCGUGGCUUACCGGAUAAAAGCUACUCCGGGGAUAACAGGGUAGUCUGGUCCAAGAGUUCAUAUCGACGACCAGGUUCGCCACCUCGAUGUCGGCUCAUCACAUCCUGGGGCUGGAUAAGGUCCCAAGGGUUGGGCUGUUUGCCCAUUAAAGUGGUACGUGAGCUGGGUUCAGACCGUCGUGAGACAGGUCGGUCUCUAUCCGCUGUGGGCGUAAGGGAUUUGAGAGAAGCUGCCCCUAGUACGAGAGGACCGGGGUGGACGGACCUCUAGUGUGCCAGUUGUUCUGCCAAGAGCAUUGCUGGGUAGCUACGUCCGGCAGAGAUAACCGCUGAAAGCAUCUAAGUGGGAAACUCGUCUCAAGAUUAGAUCCCUCAUCCGUAUGGAGUAAGACCGCUAGAAGACGACUAGUUUGAUAGGCGGCAGGUGUAAGCGCAGUAAUGUGUUCAGCUUAGCCGUACUAAUGGUCGAGGGCUUACGUU